GUAGGGCGCAAGCGUUGUCCGGAAUUAUUGGGCGUAAAGAGCUUGUAGGUGGCUUGUCGCGUCUGCCGUGAAAACCCGAGGCUCAACCUCGGGCGUGCGGUGGGUACGGGCAGGCUAGAGUGUGGUAGGGGAGACUGGAACUCCUGGUGUAGCGGUGAUAUGCGCAGAUAUCAGGAAGAACACCGAUGGCGAAGGCAGGUCUCUGGGCCAUUACUGACACUGAGAAGCGAAAGCAUGGGGAGCGAACAGGAUUAGAUACCCUGGUAGUCCAUGCCGUAAACGUUGGGCACUAGGUGUGGGGAACAUUCCACGUUUUCCGCGCCGUAGCUAACGCAUUAAGUGCCCCGCCUGGGGAGUACGGCCGCAAGGCUA
rnacentral:rRNA from 1 species